rnacentral:rRNA from 1 species
AAUGGGGGCAACCCUGAUCCAGCCAUGCCGCGUGAGUGAAGAAGGCCCUAGGGUCGUAAAGCUCUUUCGCCUGUGAUGAUAAUGACAGUAGCAGGUAAAGAAACCCCGGCUAACUCCGUGCCAGCAGCCGCGGUAAUACGGAGGGGGUUAGCGUUGUUCGGAAUUACUGGGCGUAAAGCGCGCGUAGGCGGAUUGGAAAGUUGGGGGUGAAAUCCCGGGGCUCAACCCCGGAACUGCCUUCAAAACUCCCAGUCUAGAGUUCGAGAGAGGUGAGUGGAAUUCCGAGUGUAGAGGUGAAAUUCGUAGAUAUUCGGAAGAACACCAGUGGCGAAGGCGGCUCACUGGCUCGAUACUGACGCUGAGGUGCGAAAGUGUGGGGAGCAAACAGGAUU